ACUGUCUCCUAGGAUAGGAGACAGUAGGUGCACGGUCCAUCCCCCUGUUCCCCGUCCCCCACGACCCCGUUUGAUACUGCUGAUUAGUGCGAUACGGGCGUUUACCACGCCUUCUCCCGUAUCGCACUUCAGUCCAUUGUUCUUGGUCGUAGGUCAUGAUUGUUGUUUUAACCUUUUUAAUUAUUUAUUGUUAUUUAUUAAUGUGGUGUAUUUAUGAGACUAUUUAUUUAUUUAUUGGUCUAUCUAUCGAUCUUUUUAAACAAAACCUGUAUCAAAUGAAUUGUUAUUUAUUUUUUUAUGCUUUUUUUUGUUUUUUGUGAAAUAAAAAUGAAAUAAAAUGAAAUAAAAGUGAGAAAACUAAAUAAAAUGUGUAUCAAAAUGAAGAAUAAGUGCCCAGUCGCGACGUUUCGACCGCUGUGGGUCUUCUUCAGGCUAUGGGCACAAAAUAAAAUAUGUCUGGGCUUGUCUGGGCUUGUCUGGGCUUGUUUGAGUCUGUUGGUGAGAUGCUUUCUCUUCAAGAGACAUAUGAGAAGUGGGAGGCUGAACUCUGUGUGCGUGAGUUUUUUAUAGGGGCGUGGGAAAGAGCAGAGCCAGACGGGGGGCCUCCGGCCGUCUGGGUGCAGUUAACCCCAUAAAUGCCAACUGAAAUUUAAUGACAUGAAUGUUAAUGGCCAAUUAGAAUUUUUUUACCCUCUUUUAGCUGAUUAAUUUUGAUGAAUUAUAAUUGUAAUGUCCAAUUAGAAAUAUUUAUCUUGUUUUUGACCUAUUUAAUAUAAUAAAUUGUAAUUUUAAUGCCCAAUUUUAACUUUUGCCAAUUAGAAUUUGUAAUGAAUUUGAAUUUUUUAAGAUAGAUGUAAUUAUGUUAGCCCCUAAUUCCCUUUUUAAAUUUUGGAUGAGAUAUAUAUUUGUAAUAUUUAUGGUUUUAAUGUGAAAUCAUCCCUAUUUUUAGCCCCUUAUGAAAUCCAAUAAUUAAUAAUGAAUCAAAAAGAAUUAGUUAUAAUAAAUGAUUAGCCUUUAAAGGUUAGGGUUAGGGGUCAGGGCUAGGGCCAGAGAGGCCAGGGUUAGGGUUAGGGCUAGGGUUAGGGCUAGGGCUAGAUCCAGGGGUUAGGGUUAGGGUUAGGGCAAGGGUUAGGGUUAGAUUUGAUCCCGAGGGUUAGGGUUAGGGUUAGGGAUAGGGUUAGGGUUAGAUUUAAUCCCCGAGGGUUAGGGUUAGGGUUAGGGAUAGGGUUAGGGUUAGAUUUAAUCCCCGAGGGUUAGGGUUAGGGUUAAGAUUCUGGUUAGGCGUUAGUUUAGGGCUAGGGGUCAGUGGUUAGGGGUCAGGGGCUAGUGAUUAGGGGUUGGUGGUUAGUGAUUAGGGGUCAGGGUUAGGCAUUGGAGCCCCUAAUCACACGUAGAUGUAUUUAGCUGUUGUUCCCGUCCAGUGCAUGUGGUCCACCCCCGACAGAAACCCGUCUCCUUUCAGAGAGUCGACGUGUGGCCAAGCUCCAGUAUGCCACAUUCUUGUCUGUGUUAAUGUGUCUUUUUGUUUUGUAUGUUACAGGUUUUGGGGGAGAGGGAGACUUUCCCUCCAAAGAGUCCAGAAACUCCCUGUCCAGCUUAGACAUGAAGUUCUGUUGUGGAGACAGAACAGGAGUUGUCUCCAGCUCCGUGUCUUGGUUUUUCCCUAUGUGUGAGUACUGUUUUGUAUUGUUUGUAGGUGUUUGUUUCUCCUCUUGUUUGUUAUGUUGUGGUUCUGUGUGUGGUGUGUGGAGUGGAGUCUGAGGUGUUUUGGUUUGUUGUGGUGUUUUUUGUUGUUGUUGUUGUGGUGGUGUUUUGUUUUGUUGUUGUUGUUGUGCUUGUGCUGACUGUGUGUUUUGUUGUGGUGUCUGCUUUAUGUUUACAGGUUUGUCCACAAUUUGUGGACCAUCAUUUUGCUGUUUUUCCUGUGCAGCAACAGGCUCAGAAGGGGCUGCCUGUCUGUCCUGUGCUGCAUCAGGCUUCACACAAGAGGCUAUCAGAGCCUCCGCGUGGUCAAUAACCUCCUGCUUUAUGCGAGGCAGGUUCCUUCUAGCCCAUCUCGUGGCCACAGCGAAGGCGCUCUUCCACUCUUGAGGUGGCUCUUUUGAAAGAUCUGCCUGUAUUUUCUCCAGCUCAGCGGUGUAGUGGUCCUGGAGAAUGAGUAGUGUAGUGUGGCCCCAGUUUUUUGCAUUUGCCAUGAUCAAAUCCAGCGUGUCGGUUGUUGGAUUUGCUGGUUUGAUCAUGGUUGCCAAAUUAUCCACCAUACGUGCAAUCAUUUUUGGAUCCUGUUUUUCAGGUCCUGGGGUCACAUUUUGUAGGUGGUGUACCAUUUUAAUGACAGUGUGUAAUUUUUUGACCAGUUGUCCGAAUUGGGGGUCAUGUACGGGUGCUUGAUGAGUACUUGGAUCAGGCAGGGAUCUGCUCUGCUGUGUGUUUUUUUGGUGGUAAUAAGGGCGUCUUUGAGGAAAUCCCCCUGGUUACGGGUGGGGUUUCCCUGGUGUAGCACAGAUGCAUAGGACCCUGAUUGAGGUCCCCAAAAUUUGGGUUGAUAAUCAGGAGGAGGUCCAGGUCUGCGGGGACGUGAGGGAGCAGAGAACCGUGGGGGAGGCACAGGCCGGUUAGGUUUAUGGAUAAAGGGGGACUGUCUCCUAGAAUAGGAGACAGUAGGUGCACGGUCCAUCCCCCUGUUCCCCGUCCCCCACGACCCCGUUUGAUACUGCUGAUUAGUGCGAUACGGGCGUUUACCACGCCUUCUCCCGUAUCGCACUUCAGUCCAUUGUUCUUGGUCGUAGGUCAUGAUUGUUGUUUUAACCUUUUUAAUUAUUUAUUGUUAUUUAUUAAUGUGGUGUAUUUAUGAGACUAUUUAUUUAUUUAUUGGUCUAUCUAUCGAUCUUUUUAAACAAAAACUGUAUCAAAUGAAUUGUUCUUUAUUUUUUUAUGCUUUUUUUUGUUUUUUGUGAAAUAAAAAUGAAAUAAAAUGAAAUAAAAGUGAGAAAACUAAAUAAAAUGUGUAUCAAAAUGAAGAAUAAGUGCCCAGUCGCGACGUUUCGACCGCUGUGGGUCUUCUUCAGGCUAUGGGCACAAAAUAAAAUAUGUCUGGGCUUGUCUGGGCUUGUCUGGGCUUGUUUGAGUCUGUUGGUGAGAUGCUUUCUCUUCAAGAGACAUAUGAGAAGUGGGAGGCUGAACUCUGUGUGCGUGAGUUUUUUAUAGGGGCGUGGGAAAGAGCAGAGCCAGACGGGGGCCCCCGGCCGUCUGGGUGCAGUUAACCCCAUAAAUGCCAACUGAACUUAGAUGACAUGAAUGUUAAUGGCCAAUUGGAUUUUUUUACCCUCUUUUAAUAGAUUAAUUUUAAUGAAUUAUAAUUGUAAUGCCCAAUUAGAAUUUUUUAUGCUGUUUUUGACCUAUUUAAUAUAAUAAAUUGUAAUUUUAAUGCCCAAUUUUAACUUUUGCCAAUUAGAAUUUGUAAUGAAUUUGAAUUUUUUAAGAUAGAUGUAAUUAUGUUAGCCCCUAAUUCCCUUUUUAAAUUUUGGAUGAGAUAUAUAUUUGUAAUAUUUAUGGUUUUAAUGUGAAAUCAUCCCUAUUUUUAGCCCCUUAUGAAAUCCAAUAAUUAAUAAUGAAUCAAAAAGAAUUAGUUAUAAUAAAUGAUUAGCCUUUAAAGGUUAGGGUUAGGGGUCAGGGCUAGGGCCAGAGAGGCCAGGGUUAGGGUUAGGGCUAGGGUUAGGGCUAGGGCUAGAUCCAGGGGUUAGGGUUAGGGUUAGGGCAAGGGUUAGGGUUAGAUUUGAUCCCGAGGGUUAGGGUUAGGGUUAGGGAUAGGGUUAGGGUUAGAUUUAAUCCCCGAGGGUUAGGGUUAGGGUUAGGGAUAGGGUUAGGGUUAGAUUUAAUCCCCGAGGGUUAGGGUUAGGGUUAAGAUUCUGGUUAGGCGUUAGUUUAGGGCUAGGGGUCAGUGGUUAGGGGUCAGGGGCUAGUGAUUAGGGGUUGGUGGUUAGUGAUUAGGGGUCAGGGUUAGGCAUUGGAGCCCCUAAUCACACGUAGAUGUAUUUAGCUGUUGUUCCCGUCCAGUGCAUGUGGUCCACCCCCGACAGAAACCCGUCUCCUUUCAGAGAGUCGACGUGUGGCCAAGCUCCAGUAUGCCACAUUCUUGUCUGUGUUAAUGUGUCUUUUUGUUUUGUAUGUUACAGGUUUUGGGGGAGAGGGAGACUUUCCCUCCAAAGAGUCCAGAAACUCCCUGUCCAGCUUGGACAGGAAGCUCUGUUGUGGAGACAGAACAGGAGUUGUCUCCAGCUCCGUGUCUUGGUUUUCCCCUAUGUGUGAGUACUGUUUUGUAUUGUUUGUAGGUGUUUGUUUCUCCUCUUGUUUGUUAUGUUGUGGUUCUGUGUGUGGUGUGUGGAGUGGAGUCUGAGGUGUUUUGGUUUGUUGUGGUGUUUUUUGUUGUUGUUGUUGUGGUGGUGUUUUGUUUUGUUGUUGUUGUUGUGCUUGUGCUGACUGUGUGUUUUGUUGUGGUGUCUGCUUUAUGUUUACAGGUUUGUCCACAAUUUGUGGACCAUCAUUUUGCUGUUUUUCCUGUGCAGCAACAGGCUCAGAAGGGGCUGCCUGUCUGUCCUGUGCUGCAUCAGGCUUCACACAAGAGGCUAUCAGAGCCUCCGCGUGGUCAAUAACCUCCUGCUUUAUGCGAGGCAGGUUCCUUCUAGCCCAUCUCGUGGCCACAGCGAAGGCGCUCUUCCACUCUUGAGGUGGCUCUUUUGAAAGAUCUGCCUUUAUUUUCUCCAGCUCAGCGGUGUAGUGGUCCUGGAGAAUGAGUAGUGUAGUGUGGCCCCAGUUUUUUGCAUUUGCCAUGAUCAAAUCCAGCGUGUAGGUUGUUGGAUUUGCUGGUUUGAUCAUGGCUGCCAAAUUAUCCACCAUACGUGCUAUCAUUUUUGGAUCCUGUUUUUCAGGUCCUGGGGUCACAUUUUGUAGGUGGUGUACCAUUUUAAUGACAGUGUGUAAUUUUCUGACCCUUUGUCCAAAUUGUGGGUCAUGUACUGGUGCUUGAUGAGUACUUGGAUCCGGCAGGGAUCUGCUCUGCUGUGUGUUUUUUUGGUGGUAAUAAGGGCGUCUUUGAGGAAAUCCCCCUGGUUACGGGUGGGGUUUCCCUGGUGUAGCACAGAUGCAUAGGACCCUGAUUGAGGUCCCCAAAAUUUGGGUUGAUAAUCAGGAGGUCCAGGUCUGCGGGGACGUGAGGGAGCAGAGAACCGUGGGGGAGGCACAGGCCGGUUAGGUUUAUGGAUAAAGGGGGACUGUCUCCUAGAAUAGGAGACAGUAGGUGCACGGUCCAUCCCCCUGUUCCCCGUCCCCCACGACCCCGUUUGAUACUGCUGAUUAGUGCGAUACGGGCGUUUACCACGCCUUCUCCCGUAUCGCACUUCAGUCCAUUGUUCUUGGUCGUAGGUCAUGAUUGUUGUUUUAACCUUUUUAAUUAUUUAUUGUUAUUUAUUAAUGUGGUGUAUUUAUGAGACUAUUUAUUUAUUUAUUGGUCUAUCUAUCGAUGUUUUUAAACAAAACCUGUAUCAAAUGAACUGUUCUUUAUUUUUUUUUUUUUUUUUUUUUUUUUUUUUUUUUUUUUUUUUUUUUUUGUGCGUUUUUUUGUUUUUUGUGAAAUAAAAAUGAAAUAAAAUGAAAUAAAAGUGAGAAAACUAAAUAAAAUGUGUAUCAAAAUGAAGAAUAAGUGCCCAGUCGCGACGUUUCGACCGCUGUGGGUCUUCUUCAGGCUAUGGGCACAAAAUAAAAUAUGUCUGGGCUUGUCUGGGCUUGUCUGGGCUUGUUUGAGUCUGUUGGUGAGAUGCUUUCUCUUCAAGAGACAUAUGAGAAGUGGGAGGCUGAACUCUGUGUGCGUGAGUUUUUUAUAGGGGCGUGGGAAAGAGCAGAGCCAGACGGGGGGCCUCCGGCCGUCUGGGUGCAGUUAACCCCAUAAAUGCCAACUGAAAUUAGAUGACAUGAAUGUUAAUGGCCAAUUAGAAUUUUUUUACCCUCUUUUAGCUGAUUAAUUUUGAUGAAUUAUAAUUGUAAUGUCCAAUUAGAAAUAUUUAUCUUGUUUUUGACCUAUUUAAUAUAAUAAAUUGUAAUUUUAAUGCCCAAUUUUAACUUUUGCCAAUUAGAAUUUGUAAUGAAUUUGAAUUUUUUAAGAUAGAUGUAAUUAUGUUAGCCCCUAAUUCCCUUUUUAAAUUUUGGAUGAGAUAUAUAUUUGUAAUAUUUAUGGUUUUAAUGUGAAAUCAUCCCUAUUUUUAGCCCCUUAUGAAAUCCAAUAAUUAAUAAUGAAUCAAAAAGAAUUAGUUAUAAUAAAUGAUUAGCCUUUAAAGGUUAGGGUUAGGGGUCAGGGCUAGGGCCAGAGAGGCCAGGGUUAGGGUUAGGGCUAGGGUUAGGGCUAGGGCUAGAUCCAGGGGUUAGGGUUAGGGUUAGGGCAAGGGUUAGGGUUAGAUUUGAUCCCCGAGGGUUAGGGUUAGGGUUAGGGAUAGGGUUAGGGUUAGAUUUUGAUCCCCGAGGGUUAGGGUUAGGGUUAGAUCCAGGGUUAGGGUUAGAUUUUGAUCCCCGAGGGUUAGGGUUAGGGUUAAGAUUCUGGUUAGGCGUUAGUUUAGGGCUAGGGGUCAGUGGUUAGGGGUCAGGGGCUAGUGAUUAGGGGUUGGUGGUUAGUGAUUAGGGGUCAGGGUUAGGCAUUGGAGCCCCUAAUCACACGUAGAUGUAUUUAGCUGUUGUUCCCGUCCAGUGCAUGUGGUCCACCCCCGACAGAAACCCGUCUCCUUUCAGAGAGUCGACGUGUGGCCAAGCUCCAGUAUGCCACAUUCUUGUCUGUGUUAAUGUGUCUUUUUGUUUUGUAUGUUAUAGGUUUUGGGGGAGAGGGAGACUUUCCCUCCAAAGAGUCCAGAAACUCCCUGUCCAGCUUAGACAUGAAGUUCUGUUGUGGAGACAGAACAGGAGUUGUCUCCAGCUCCGUGUCUUGGUUUUUCCCUAUGUGUGAGUACUGUUUUGUAUUGUUUGUAGGUGUUUGUUUCUCCUCUUGUUUGUUAUGUUGUGGUUCUGUGUGUGGUGUGUGGAGUGGAGUCUGAGGUGUUUUGGUUUGUUGUGGUGUUUUUUGUUGUUGUUGUUGUGGUGGUGUUUUGUUUUGUUGUUGUUGUUGUGCUUGUGCUGACUGUGUGUUUUGUUGUGGUGUCUGCUUUAUGUUUACAGGUUUGUCCACAAUUUGUGGACCAUCAUUUUGCUGUUUUUCCUGUGCAGCAACAGGCUCAGAAGGGGCUGCCUGUCUGUCCUGUGCUGCAUCAGGCUUCACACAAGAGGCUAUCAGAGCCUCCGCGUGGUCAAUAACCUCCUGAUUUAUGCGAGGCAAGUUCUUUCGAGCCCAUCUUGUGGCCACAGUGAAGGCGCUCUUCCACUCUUGAGGUGGCUCUUUUGAAAGAUCUGCCUUUAUUUUCUCCAGCUCAGCGGUGUAGUGGUCCUGGAGAAUGAGUAGUGUAGUGUGGCCCCAGUUUUUUGCAUUUGCCAUGAUCAAAUCCAGCGUGUAGGUUGUUGGAUUUGCUGGUUUGAUCAUGGCUGCCAAAUUAUCCACCAUACGUGCUAUCAUUUUUGGAUCCUGUUUUUCAGGUCCUGGGGUCACAUUUUGUAGGUGGUGUACCAUUUUAAUGACAGUGUGUAAUUUUUUGACCAGUUGUCCGAAUUGGGGGUCAUGUACGGGUGCUUGAUGAGUACUUGGAUCAGGCAGGGAUCUGCUCUGCUGUGUGUUUUUUUGGUGGUAAUAAGGGCGUCUUUGAGGAAAUCCCCCCUGGUUACGGGUGGGGUUUCCCUGGUGUAGCACAGAUGCAUAGGACCCUGAUUGAGGUCCCCAAAAUUUGGGUUGAUAAUCAGGAGGAGGUCCAGGUCUGCGGGGACGUGAGGGAGCAGAGAACCGUGGGGGAGGCACAGGCCGGUUAGGUUUAUGGAUAAAGGGGGACUGUCUCCUAGAAUAGGAGACAGUAGGUGCACGGUCCAUCCCCCUGUUCCCCGUCCCCCACGACCCCGUUUGAUACUGCUGAUUAGUGCGAUACGGGCGUUUACCACGCCUUCUCCCGUAUCGCACUUCAGUCCAUUGUUCUUGGUCGUAGGUCAUGAUUGUUGUUUUAACCUUUUUAAUUAUUUAUUGUUAUUUAUUAAUGUGGUGUAUUUAUGAGACUAUUUAUUUAUUUAUUGGUCUAUCUAUCGAUCUUUUUAAACAAAACCUGUAUCAAAUGAAUUGUUAUUUAUUUUUUUAUGCUUUUUUUUGUUUUUUGUGAAAUAAAAAUGAAAUAAAAUGAAAUAAAAGUGAGAAAACUAAAUAAAAUGUGUAUCAAAAUGAAGAAUAAGUGCCCAGUCGCGACGUUUCGACCGCUGUGGGUCUUCUUCAGGCUAUGGGCACAAAAUAAAAUAUGUCUGGGCUUGUCUGGGCUUGUCUGGGCUUGUUUGAGUCUGUUGGUGAGAUGCUUUCUCUUCAAGAGACAUAUGAGAAGUGGGAGGCUGAACUCUGUGUGCGUGAGUUUUUUAUAGGGGCGUGGGAAAGAGCAGAGCCAGACGGGGGCCUCCGGCCGUCUGGGUGCAGUUAACCCCAUAAAUGCCAACUGAAAUUUAAUGACAUGAAUGUUAAUGGCCAAUUAGAAUUUUUUUACCCUCUUUUAGCUGAUUAAUUUUGAUGAAUUAUAAUUGUAAUGUCCAAUUAGAAAUAUUUAUCUUGUUUUUGACCUAUUUAAUAUAAUAAAUUGUAAUUUUAAUGCCCAAUUUUAACUUUUGCCAAUUAGAAUUUGUAAUGAAUUUGAAUUUUUUAAGAUAGAUGUAAUUAUGUUAGCCCCUAAUUCCCUUUUUAAAUUUUGGAUGAGAUAUAUAUUUGUAAUAUUUAUGGUUUUAAUGUGAAAUCAUCCCUAUUUUUAGCCCCUUAUGAAAUCCAAUAAUUAAUAAUGAAUCAAAAAGAAUUAGUUAUAAUAAAUGAUUAGCCUUUAAAGGUUAGGGUUAGGGGUCAGGGCUAGGGCCAGAGAGGCCAGGGUUAGGGUUAGGGCUAGGGUUAGGGCUAGGGCUAGAUCCAGAGGGUUAGGGUUAGGGUUAGGGAUAGGGUUAGGGUUAGAUUUGAUCCCCGAGGGUUAGGGUUAGGGUUAGGGAUAGGGUUAGGGUUAGAUUUAAUCCCCGAGGGUUAGGGUUAGGGUUAGGGAUAGGGUUAGGGUUAGAUUUGAUCCCCGAGGGUUAGGGUUAGGGUUAAGAUUCUGGUUAGGCGUUAGUUUAGGGCUAGGGGUCAGUGGUUAGGGGUCAGGGGCUAGUGAUUAGGGGUUGGUGGUUAGUGAUUAGGGGUCAGGGUUAGGCAUUGGAGCCCCUAAUCACACGUAGAUGUAUUUAGCUGUUGUUCCCGUCCAGUGCAUGUGGUCCACCCCCGACAGAAACCCGUCUCCUUUCAGAGAGUCGACGUGUGGCCAAGCUCCAGUAUGCCACAUUCUUGUCUGUGUUAAUGUGUCUUUUUGUUUUGUAUGUUACAGGUUUUGGGGGAGAGGGAGACUUUCCCUCCAAAGAGUCCAGAAACUCCCUGUCCAGCUUAGACAUGAAGUUCUGUUGUGGAGACAGAACAGGAGUUGUCUCCAGCUCCGUGUCUUGGUUUUUCCCUAUGUGUGAGUACUGUUUUGUAUUGUUUGUAGGUGUUUGUUUCUCCUCUUGUUUGUUAUGUUGUGGUUCUGUGUGUGGUGUGUGGAGUGGAGUCUGAGGUGUUUUGGUUUGUUGUGGUGUUUUUUGUUGUUGUUGUUGUGGUGGUGUUUUGUUUUGUUGUUGUUGUUGUGCUUGUGCUGACUGUGUGUUUUGUUGUGGUGUCUGCUUUAUGUUUACAGGCUUGUCCACAAUUUGUGGACCAUCAUUUUGCUGUUUUUCCUGUGCAGCAACAGGCUCAGAAGGGGCUGCCUGUCUGUCCUGUGCUGCAUCAGGCUUCACACAAGAGGCUAUCAGAGCCUCCGCGUGGUCAAUAACCUCCUGAUUUAUGCGAGGCAAGUUCUUUCGAGCCCAUCUUGUGGCCACAGUGAAGGCGCUCUUCCACUCUUGAGGUGGCUCUUUUGAAAGAUCUGCCUUUAUUUUCUCCAGCUCAGCGGUGUAGUGGUCCUGGAGAAUGAGUAGUGUAGUGUGGCCCCAGUUUUUUGCAUUUGCCAUGAUCAAAUCCAGCGUGUAGGUUGUUGGAUUUGCUGGUUUGAUCAUGGCUGCCAAAUUAUCCACCAUACGUGCUAUCAUUUUUGGAUCCUGUUUUUCAGGUCCUGGGGUCACAUUUUGUAGGUGGUGUACCAUUUUAAUGACAGUGUGUAAUUUUUUGACCAGUUGUCCGAAUUGGGGGUCAUGUACGGGUGCUUGAUGAGUACUUGGAUCAGGCAGGGAUCUGCUCUGCUGUGUGUUUUUUUGGUGGUAAUAAGGGCGUCUUUGAGGAAAUCCCCCCUGGUUACGGGUGGGGUUUCCCUGGUGUAGCACAGAUGCAUAGGACCCUGAUUGAGGUCCCCAAAAUUUGGGUUGAUAAUCAGGAGGAGGUCCAGGUCUGCGGGGACGUGAGGGAGCAGAGAACCGUGGGGGAGGCACAGGCCGGUUAGGUUUAUGGAUAAAGGGGGACUGUCUCCUAGAAUAGGAGACAGUAGGUGCACGGUCCAUCCCCCUGUUCCCCGUCCCCCACGACCCCGUUUGAUACUGCUGAUUAGUGCGAUACGGGCGUUUACCACGCCUUCUCCCGUAUCGCACUUCAGUCCAUUGUUCUUGGUCGUAGGUCAUGAUUGUUGUUUUAACCUUUUUAAUUAUUUAUUGUUAUUUAUUAAUGUGGUGUAUUUAUGAGACUAUUUAUUUAUUUAUUGGUCUAUCUAUCGAUCUUUUUAAACAAAACCUGUAUCAAAUGAAUUGUUAUUUAUUUUUUUAUGCUUUUUUUUGUUUUUUGUGAAAUAAAAAUGAAAUAAAAUGAAAUAAAAGUGAGAAAACUAAAUAAAAUGUGUAUCAAAAUGAAGAAUAAGUGCCCAGUCGCGACGUUUCGACCGCUGUGGGUCUUCUUCAGGCUAUGGGCACAAAAUAAAAUAUGUCUGGGCUUGUCUGGGCUUGUCUGGGCUUGUUUGAGUCUGUUGGUGAGAUGCUUUCUCUUCAAGAGACAUAUGAGAAGUGGGAGGCUGAACUCUGUGUGCGUGAGUUUUUUAUAGGGGCGUGGGAAAGAGCAGAGCCAGACGGGGGCCUCCGGCCGUCUGGGUGCAGUUAACCCCAUAAAUGCCAACUGAAAUUUAAUGACAUGAAUGUUAAUGGCCAAUUAGAAUUUUUUUACCCUCUUUUAGCUGAUUAAUUUUGAUGAAUUAUAAUUGUAAUGUCCAAUUAGAAAUAUUUAUCUUGUUUUUGACCUAUUUAAUAUAAUAAAUUGUAAUUUUAAUGCCCAAUUUUAACUUUUGCCAAUUAGAAUUUGUAAUGAAUUUGAAUUUUUUAAGAUAGAUGUAAUUAUGUUAGCCCCUAAUUCCCUUUUUAAAUUUUGGAUGAGAUAUAUAUUUGUAAUAUUUAUGGUUUUAAUGUGAAAUCAUCCCUAUUUUUAGCCCCUUAUGAAAUCCAAUAAUUAAUAAUGAAUCAAAAAGAAUUAGUUAUAAUAAAUGAUUAGCCUUUAAAGGUUAGGGUUAGGGGUCAGGGCUAGGGCCAGAGAGGCCAGGGUUAGGGUUAGGGCUAGGGUUAGGGCUAGGGCUAGAUCCCGAGGUUAGGGUUAGGGUUAGGGCAAGGGUUAGGGUUAGAUUUGAUCCCGAGGGUUAGGGUUAGGGUUAGGGAUAGGGUUAGGGUUAGAUUUAAUCCCCGAGGGUUAGGGUUAGGGUUAGGGAUAGGGUUAGGGUUAGAUUUAAUCCCCGAGGGUUAGGGUUAGGGUUAAGAUUCUGGUUAGGCGUUAGUUUAGGGCUAGGGGUCAGUGGUUAGGGGUCAGGGGCUAGUGAUUAGGGGUUGGUGGUUAGUGAUUAGGGGUCAGGGUUAGGCAUUGGAGCCCCUAAUCACACGUAGAUGUAUUUAGCUGUUGUUCCCGUCCAGUGCAUGUGGUCCACCCCCGACAGAAACCCGUCUCCUUUCAGAGAGUCGACGUGUGGCCAAGCUCCAGUAUGCCACAUUCUUGUCUGUGUUAAUGUGUCUUUUUGUUUUGUAUGUUACAGGUUUUGGGGGAGAGGGAGACUUUCCCUCCAAAGAGUCCAGAAACUCCCUGUCCAGCUUAGACAUGAAGUUCUGUUGUGGAGACAGAACAGGAGUUGUCUCCAGCUCCGUGUCUUGGUUUUUCCCUAUGUGUGAGUACUGUUUUGUAUUGUUUGUAGGUGUUUGUUUCUCCUCUUGUUUGUUAUGUUGUGGUUCUGUGUGUGGUGUGUGGAGUGGAGUCUGAGGUGUUUUGGUUUGUUGUGGUGUUUUUUGUUGUUGUUGUUGUGGUGGUGUUUUGUUUUGUUGUUGUUGUUGUGCUUGUGCUGACUGUGUGUUUUGUUGUGGUGUCUGCUUUAUGUUUACAGGUUUGUCCACAAUUUGUGGACCAUCAUUUUGCUGUUUUUCCUGUGCAGCAACAGGCUCAGAAGGGGCUGCCUGUCUGUCCUGUGCUGCAUCAGGCUUCACACAAGAGGCUAUCAGAGCCUCCGCGUGGUCAAUAACCUCCUGAUUUAUGCGAGGCAAGUUCUUUCGAGCCCAUCUUGUGGCCACAGUGAAGGCGCUCUUCCACUCUUGAGGUGGCUCUUUUGAAAGAUCUGCCUUUAUUUUCUCCAGCUCAGCGGUGUAGUGGUCCUGGAGAAUGAGUAGUGUAGUGUGGCCCCAGUUUUUUGCAUUUGCCAUGAUCAAAUCCAGCGUGUAGGUUGUUGGAUUUGCUGGUUUGAUCAUGGCUGCCAAAUUAUCCACCAUACGUGCUAUCAUUUUUGGAUCCUGUUUUUCAGGUCCUGGGGUCACAUUUUGUAGGUGGUGUACCAUUUUAAUGACAGUGUGUAAUUUUCUGACCCUUUGUCCAAAUUGUGGGUCAUGUACUGGUGCUUGAUGAGUACUUGGAUCCGGCAGGGAUCUGCUCUGCUGUGUGUUUUUUUGGUGGUAAUAAGGGCGUCUUUGAGGAAAUCCCCCUGGUUACGGGUGGGGUUUCCCUGGUGUAGCACAGAUGCAUAGGACCCUGAUUGAGGUCCCCAAAAUUUGGGUUGAUAAUCAGGAGGAGGUCCAGGUCUGCGGGGACGUGAGGGAGCAGAGAACCGUGGGGGAGGCACAGGCCGGUUAGGUUUAUGGAUAAAGGGGGACUGUCUCCUAGAAUAGGAGACAGUAGGUGCACGGUCCAUCCCCCUGUUCCCCGUCCCCCACGACCCCGUUUGAUACUGCUGAUUAGUGCGAUACGGGCGUUGACCACGCCUUCUCCCGUAUCGCACUUCAGUCCAUUGUUCUUGGUCGUAGGUCAUGAUUGUUGUUUUAACCUUUUUAAUUAUUUAUUGUUAUUUAUUAAUGUGGUGUAUUUAUGAGACUAUUUAUUUAUUUAUUGGUCUAUCUAUCGAUCUUUUUAAACAAAACCUGUAUCAAAUGAAUUGUUAUUUAUUUUUUUAUGCUUUUUUUUGUUUUUUGUGAAAUAAAAAUGAAAUAAAAUGAAAUAAAAGUGAGAAAACUAAAUAAAAUGUGUAUCAAAAUGAAGAAUAAGUGCCCAGUCGCGACGUUUCGACCGCUGUGGGUCUUCUUCAGGCUAUGGGCACAAAAUAAAAUAUGUCUGGGCUUGUCUGGGCUUGUCUGGGCUUGUUUGAGUCUGUUGGUGAGAUGCUUUCUCUUCAAGAGACAUAUGAGAAGUGGGAGGCUGAACUCUGUGUGCGUGAGUUUUUUAUAGGGGCGUGGGAAAGAGCAGAGCCAGACGGGGGCCUCCGGCCGUCUGGGUGCAGUUAACCCCAUAAAUGCCAACUGAAAUUUAAU